CCUACGGGGGGCUGCAGUGGGGAAUAUUGGGCAAUGGGCGCAAGCCUGACGCAGCGACGCCGCGUGAGGGAAGACGGUCUUCGGAUUGUAAACUUCUUUCAGCAGGGAAGACGGAAGUACAGUACAUACAGAAGAAGCCACGGCUAACUACGUGCCAGCAGCCGCGGUAAUACGGAGGCGGCAAGCGUGAUACGGAAUUACUGGGUGUAAAGGGUGUGUAGGCGGGUUGGGAAGUCAGAUGUGAAAAUUUUGGGCUCAACCCGUAAACGGCGUCUGAAACUACCAAGCUUGAGAGUGGGAGAGGUGGACAGAAUUACAGGUGUAGCGGUGAAAUGCGUAGAUAUCGGGAGGAACACCAGUGGCGAAGGCGGUUCACUGGACGAAAACUGACGCUGAGAUACGAAAGCGUGGGGAGCAAACAGGAUUAGAUACCCGGGUAGUC
rnacentral:rRNA from 1 species